CGAGUGGCGGACGGGUGAGUAAUGUCUGGGAAACUGCCCGAUGGAGGGGGAUAACUACUGGAAACGGUAGCUAAUACCGCAUAACGUCGCAAGACCAAAGAGGGGGACCUUCGGGCCUCUUGCCAUCGGAUGAACCCAUAUGGGAUUAGCUAGUAGGUAAGGUAACGGCUUACCUAGGCGACGAUCCCUAGCUGGUCUGAGAGGAUGACCAGCCACACUGGAACUGAGACACGGUCCAG
rnacentral:rRNA from 1 species